UACGAAGGGGGCUAGCGUUGCUCGGAAUUACUGGGCGUAAAGCGUGCGCAGGCGGUUUUGUAAGCCAGAUGUGAAAUCCCCGGGCUUAACCUGGGAAUGGCAUUUGGGACUGCAAGGCUGGAGUGUGGCAGAGGAGACUGGAAUUCCCGGUGUAGCAGUGAAAUGCGUAGAGAUCCGGAGGAACACCAGUGGCGAAGGCGACACGCUGGGCCGUACCUGACACUGAUGCGCGACAGCAUGGGGAGCAAACAGG
rnacentral:rRNA from 1 species